UAGGGAAUCUUCCACAAUGGGCGCAAGCCUGAUGGAGCAACGCCGCGUGUGUGAUGAAGGCUUUCGGGUCGUAAAGCACUGUUGUAUGGGAAGAACAGCUAGAAUAGGAAAUGAUUUUAGUUUGACGGUACCAUACCAGAAAGGGACGGCUAAAUACGUGCCAG
rnacentral:rRNA from 1 species